rnacentral:misc_RNA from 1 species
GAUGGUGAAGAGGCUGAAAGAGGGGAGGCCUUUCUUGGGUGAGCUGUUUGCAGGGAACUACAUGUUCUUGCAGGUGACUCCUUCGCCCACUACUGCUUAUGUGGACAAGUUUUUUACUCCGGUCAACCACCAGCGCCACCACCAUCUCCUCCUCGCACCACCAAAGCCCACUAGGGUUGUAUCUUAAGGAGGAGGGAUGCUCUAAGAUUUUAAGAUGGAG